rnacentral:lncRNA from 1 species
GCCACCUCUUCUUUAAUCGAGACAUUAGUAGGUGUCUCUGGAAAGGGCUACUUAAAGACGUGACCAAUUUUCUCAUGCAUGAGAACAAUUCUCAAAUUGGUGUAUCAAUUAAGAAAAUCUAGUUUGGUUGUUGACAUCUAGUAUGUCAUUCAAAUACAUAUGGUUACUUAUUAUUCAAUAAGUAAAAAUGACAAAAAAGGAAAAAAUAAUAUAUAAAAUGCAUCAAUUAAUUUAACAUGGACUUUUAUUAAAUUAAUUAUACUCCCACUGUUUAACUAAAAUUUAUGACCCUCUUACAAUUUAUGGAGUCCAUGUUUGACUCCCAGUGGGCUGAGAUCCCAUCUAUUAUAUUAAGACCUUGAGUGUACUCAACAAGCCCUAAUAUAACAUUUAGGUAGAUACUAUUAUCAAUUGUAUCUCCAUACAACUCCCAGAUCAUUAAGCUGACAAAUCUUUGUCUUCACACAUCUUAUGCGUUAGCUUAACAUGCCUAUAAAAUUUAUCUCCUUGAGUGUAAAAAUUUAUCUCUUUGAAUGUAUUCAAUAGAAGAUAAAUUUUAGUUAAGUCGAACCCAUCAUUCAAUAAUAUCUAAUAUUUCAUAGUGUCAAAUAUAUCCCUAAUAGACCAGCUUUGAGUGUACUCAACAAGUUGAGACAAUUUGGAACUCUGAUUUUUCACUAUAAUGAUGGAAGGCAAUCAUAAAUGUGACUUAAUUUUUUGUGGAGGGACUUUGCAUUCAAAAGUCUCAUCAAAACAAUAAUAUAUAUAUAUAUAUAUAUAUAUAUAUAUAUAUAUAUAUAUAUAUAUAUAUAUAUAUAUA